GAUGAACGCUGGCGGCGUGCCUAAUACAUGCAAGUCGAGCGAACAGACGAGGAACUUGCUCCUCUGACGUUAGCGGCGGACGGGUGAGUAACACGUGGAUAACCUACCUAUAAGACUGGGAUAACUUCGGGAAACCGGAGCUAAUACCGGAUAACAUGUUGAACCGCAUGGUUCCACAGUGAAAGACGGUCUUGCUGUCACUUAUAGAUGGCUACGCGCCGCAUUAGCUAGUUGGUAAGGUAACGGCUUACCAAGGCAACGAUGCGUAGCCGACCUGAGAGGGUGAUCGGCCACACUGUAACUGAGACACGGUCGAGACUCCUACGGGAGGAAGCAGUAGGGAAUCUUCCGCAAUGGGCGAAAGCCUGACGGAGCAACGCCGCGUGAGUGAAGAAGGUCUUCGGAUCGUAAAACUCUGUUAUUAGGGAAGAACAAAUGUGUAAGUAACUAUGCACGUCUUGACGGUACCUAAUCAGAAAGCCACGGCUAACUACGUG
rnacentral:rRNA from 1 species